ensembl:lncRNA
CCCCUACAGCUGCCGUUGCUUUGAGGGAAGCUGCACCUCCACUGUAUCCUUGGGGGUUGUCCCCAGAGGUGGUUUGUACCGACCAAGGUGCCAUGCAGAGAAGCAGCAACACUGAGAGACCCAGAGCUUCUGUGGAAGCCAGCUGUCCCCAAGGCCUGACCCACAGCAGUGCUCAGCACGUGGGGAUGGAAGCUCCCACUGCAGCCGGAGGGACUCCAACAGCCACGGAGCGCCUGUUCUUAUCAGAGCCCGUGCACUCGACUGGGGCUCUGGGAAUGGUGCUGCUGGGGAAUGCUGUGUUCUCAGAGGAAGCAGAACCUGCCUGGAGCCUUUCUUCCUGCACCGUCCGUGCACAAAGAGGCUUCUCAGGAAGAUGAUAAACAUCCUAAGAACUGCUGUGGCUUCUGGAGACGCUCACAUCAGUGUCUUUUCCUUUAAACAUCCUGAGCUGAAGGGCCCUUUGCCUCUGAUGUCAUUCGUGCCCACACAGCCGAAAAUAGGUGCUGAGUUCUGGCAUGUAAAGCCAGCAGUGCGUGAAGUGGAGUUGCUAACAGCUCAGGAGCUGCCUGAGCUGCUGAGAGCCCCUUGGGAAGAGGUAUGUGCCAGUGUAUAUGAGGUCUGUGCGUGGAAGAGACAAAGGCUGGUCACAAAGCAGGGGGCUUCUGCUCAGCCUGGAACAGCAGAGGGGCGGGAUGGGGCUGAGCAGAGGGUGCUGGUAGUGUUGCGCUCAGGGCUGGGUGCUCCAGGGGUCUGCCAGGAGCAAUGCUUGGCCCUGCCCCUACUCCUGCAGGGGAAUAAGGGGUUAAAAAGGGUGGUGGCACAAUUCAAGCAUCCAUUCAUCUCUCUGUUUUCUUGGUGCUUGUGGGGCUGGGGGCCAUAGCACUGCCACACCAGGGUGGCAAGAGUCCCACCAGGCUGGUGGCAGGGAUGGGUCACCAUUGAACAGCCAAAUGUGGGUGGCUGCAUUCCACAGCUCCAGAAAGCUGCAGAAUGAGGGAGAGAUCAGGAUAUGUGAGCUGGAGCCUUGCCCAAGGGCUUUUGUUUUCUUGUCAUCGUUCCCUUUAAUAUAAAGCUGUUUCUUGUGGCUCUGCAGCUGUGGAGUAAUGGUGCUUUGGUAGCACUGUGAUAUCAGACAGUCUGUAUGGACAAAAGACGG